AUUGAACGCUGGCGGCAGGCUUAACACAUGCAAGUCGAGCGAGCGGCGGACGGGUGAGUAAUGUCUGGGGAACUGCCUGAUGGAGGGGGAUAACUACUGGAAACGGUAGCUAAUACCGCAUACCAUCGGAUGAACCCAUAUGGGAUUAGCUAGUAGGUGGGGUAAUGGCUCACCUAGGCGACGAUCCCUAGCUGGUCUGAGAGGAUGAACAGCCACACUGUGACUGAGACACGGCCCAGACUCCUACGGGAGGCAGCAGUGGGGAAUAUUGCACAAUGGGCGCAAGCCUGAUGCAGCCAUGCCGCGUGUAUGAAGAAGGCCUUAGGGUUGUAAAGCACUUUCAGCGAGGAGGCGUUACUCGCAGAAGAAGCACCGGCUAACUCCGUGCCAGCAGCCGCGGUAAUAC
rnacentral:rRNA from 1 species